rnacentral:tRNA from 1 species
GCCUAGCUGGCUCAGUCAGUGAAGCACAUGGCUCUUGAUCUUGGAGUUAUGAGUUCGAGCCCCAUGUUGGGUG